CCUACGGGUGGCAGCAGUGGGGGAUAUUGCACAAUGGGGGAAACCCUGAUGCAGCGACGCCGCGUGGGUGAAGAAGCGCCUCGGCGCGUAAAGCCCUGUCAGCAGGGAAGAAAAUGACGGUACCUGAAGAAGAAGCCCCGGUUAACUACGUGCCAGCAGCCGCGGUAAUACGUAGGGGGCAAGCGUUAUCCGGAUUUACUGGGUGUAAAGGGGGCGCAGACGGCGAUGCAAGCCAGGAGUGAAAGCCCGGGGCCCAACCCCGGGACUGCUCUGGAAACUGUGCGGCUAGAGUACUGGAGGGGCAGGCGGAAUUCCUAGUGUAGCGGUGAAAUGCGUAGAUAUUAGGAGGAACACCAGUGGCGAAGGCGGCCUGCUGGACAGUAACUGACGUUGAGGCUCGAAAGCGUGGGGAGCAAACAGGAUUAGAUACCCCGGUAGUC
rnacentral:rRNA from 1 species